AUUGUGUCUCGGCCUUUUGGCUAAGAGCAAGUGUAGUAUCUGUUCUGAUCAGUUUAAUAAAAUUAUUAGUCACUUGUGCCAACUUAUAUCAAUAAAAGCUGAGCCAUUUAAACGCAGUGGUUUACUUCCUUUAAAGUUUCGCAUUAUCAAUUUAAAUUACAUUUCAUUUUACUAGAUGUUGUUAACA